rnacentral:rRNA from 1 species
AACGAACGCUGGCGGCAUGCCUAACACAUGCAAGUCGAACGAGACCUUCGGGUCUAGUGGCGCACGGGUGCGUAACGCGUGGGAACCUGCCCUUAGGUUCGGAAUAACUCCCCGACAGGGGUGCUAAUACCGGACAAUGUCUUCGGACCAAAGAUUUAUCGCCUUUGGAUGGGCACGCGUUGGAUUAGCUAGUUGGUAGGGUAAAAGCCUACCAAGGCGACGAUCCAUAGCUGGUCUGAGAGGAUGAUCAGCCACACUGGGACUGAGACACGGCCCAGACUCCUACGGGAGGCGGCAGUGGGGAAUAUUGGACAAUGGGCGAAAGCCUGAUGCAGCAAUGCCGCGUGAGUGAUGAAGGCCUUAGGGUUGUAAAGCUCUUUUACCCGGGAUGGUAAUGACAGUACCGGGAGAAUAAGCUCCGGCUAACUCCGUG